UACGUAGGGUGCGAGCGUUGUCCGGAAUUAUUGGGCGUAAAGAGCUCGUAGGCGGUCUGUCGCGUCGAAUGUGAAAACCUGGGGCUCAACUCCGGGCUUGCAUUCGAUACGGGCAGGCUAGAGUUCGGUAGGGGAGUCUGGAAUUCCUGGUGUAGCGGUGAAAUGCGCAGAUAUCAGGAGGAACACCGGUGGCGAAGGCGGGACUCUGGGCCGAUACUGACGCUGAGGAGCGAAAGCGUGGGGAGCGAACAGG
rnacentral:rRNA from 1 species